GUAAACUGAAGGUUUGCCAGUUUCAGUGAACAAGGUGCUUUUCCCUUGUGUUGGGUUUCUAUGACUUUUUUCACCCAUCUUUGUGUUUUGGUGGUGGCCAGCCCUGUAUAUUGCCACUUAGUUGAUAUGGACUCCCAUCUGCCUCUGACAGUUGCCUGCUGUGUGGCCUUGAGCAUGUCAUUGAACCUCUCUGGGUGUUAGUUUCUUCAUCUGUAACAUGAGAAUAAUAACACUUCAUAAAUUCAUUAGCAAGACUAAACAUAGUCAUGCCUAUGAAAGUGUGGUAGCCUCUAAAACAUUACGCAAAUAGCCAAGUAUUAUCAUUAUUUCUGUUAGUAAUGAAACAAUAUAUGCAUGUCAGAUAAUAAGGUAAAGCUCCAACUCCUGAUCUUUUCAGGAGACUCUUUGCCUUUUUGCAUUUUUUUUUCCCCCUACUAGGAUACAUAGAGUGGUAAGAUAUGUAGAAAGCAGAGUUCAGGGGAAAGUCAGAAUGAGGCAGAGCUUCCAGGACAGUACUUUCUUGUUGAUCUGUUAUUUUUCUAAACCUUUUUCUUUUCUGUGUUGAAACACAAUGCCAUUUUUUGAACUUCACCAAUUGUUAUCUCAGAUAUGGAUAUGGCUGAGGCCUGGGCAAGUCAGGGCAGUGCCACUCCAGUUUCAGAAAAGAAAGUGUGAUGGGGUUCAGCAGGGAAAUUGCUGUUGUACUUCGUUAGCCAAGCUCAGUAAUUCCAAGAAUACCCCUGCGGGUGUGGGUGUUUAUGAAAUGCAGAUUCACGGGCCUUGCCCCAGCAAAUUUGAUAGGAGUCUAGGAAUCUGUAUUUCACAAACACUGUCAAUGAAUCCCAUGCCUGUGGUACUUACCUCACUUAUUAGAAACUACCUCUUCCUUCACACUCUCUCCCAUUCCCCUGUGGUGAUGGUCUAGUUACUGGUCUUAAAGGUGAUAACUCACUACUAUUCAAGAGUAAUUACAAUGCCACCAAUGCCCUCACUUCAUCAGCACAUGGGUCCUGCACAAGACUGAUUGUGCACAUUUUUAAAGCAUUUUGUAUUUUUUGACCGAGCUCUGUACUUAUGAUUUGUGUCAUUUUCUAUCUCUGUUUUAUGUGUUCAGAAAGUUUUUUAUAAUAGCACCGAUAUUGCUUUUAUUAGUGGUACUGUGACAUAUGACUGAGACCCACAACCUUUUGGUCUAUAUUAAAAACCUAUUGAAAAGUAAAUAAUUUGUAAACUUUAACCACAUAGACAAAGUGCAUGAAGGGGACAUGGAGAGAAUAAAAAUCUCUUACGGACAUAUGGUUUUCCAGUGGGCAGCUGCUAUUUAAGAACUUUUAAGGUGCACAUGAGUACACCUUUGUUAAAAGGUAUAGCUUGUAUAGUAAUUCCGUUCUGGGGGUUGCAGAGAAGAGCAGGAGGGAGCACAGUAUGCCUUGCCCUGGCUGGCAGUAUGAGACAAUUACCACGAUGAGGUUUUUUUUUUAAUGUUCUCCAUAUGUAGAUUAAAAUGUUUGUUGCCUGAACUGGGCAUGGAGAAGGCAUCAUAAUGUGCACCUGAACAUUCAUGUAGGGUUUAGUGAGGAGAAAAUAAGAGGAUACCCUGAGCUCACAUUCAUGGGCAUGGGCUCAAGCUUUUUCCAAAGUCACUGAGAUGUCAUUGUAUUGACUCAGCCUUAUUUGCAUUACCUCAUUCUGGUAGAACUGCUAUGUUUAUAGACAUCAUUUGGCAUUUACCCUUCCACAUCAGAGCUUUCAUAUUGGAGUUGACUCUUCAUUUUGAGUUGACCAAGGUGGGCUUGAGUGUGAGUGAGUGUGUGCACUUGUACAGAUACACCAUAAUCUAAGAAUCACCCUACCCCCAUGAACAGGGUGUCACGCAUGUGCUUGACUGUGUGCUUCUACAGUGGCAGGUAGAGUGAAUGCAGUGCAGGAAAUAUCAGCCCUUUUCUAAAGCACUAUGAAAAUGAAAGGGGGAGGUGGUUGGGGGAUGGAGAGGACAGAGGGGAAAUCACUUCUUUGUCUAAAAGGGAAAUGCCAGGACUGUCCCUUCAGGUCUGUUAAGUGUCUAUAGGAUGAGGAGGAAAAUUAUUCUUCUCGUUGACAUUGUGUAUGUCUGUGUGUAUCUGCAUAUGCCUAUAUUCAUUAUGACUCAUCAUCUUACUCUCAUGGUCUUUUGGAGAGACUUUGUCUAUUCUGGAGUGCAGAGGUAAUUAACUUAUGGUGCCAGUUCCACUGAUAUCCAACCAUAUAUAUCUUUGGAUUUUUAAAAACCUGAUGUUUGCAAAUGUCUAUUAUUAAAAAAAAGAGUGAGACAAGGUCUCACUAUGUUGUCAGGCAAGAGUGCUGUAGCUAUUCACAGGCUCGAUCCCACCAUUGGUCAACACAGACUGCUAUGUGUCUGACCUGGGCUGGUUCACCCCUCCUUAGGCAACCUAGUUGUUCCCUGCUCCCAAGAGGUGACCAUAUUGACGUCAAACUGAGUGUGGACACCCAAUUGGCAUAGCGCACUACAGCCCAGAAUUCUUGGGCUGGAGUGAUCCUGCUGCCUCAGCAUCCCAAGUAGAUGGGACCAUAGGCGUAUACCUCCAUGCUGGGCUACAAAAAUCUAUUCUUAUCUUCUGUGCCUUUUUCUUGUUAUUCUAAAAGGUGGAAAGCCGAGCAACUUCAGGAUGGUGCUGUAGCAUUGUGAGUGAGAGGAGAAUAUAUUUAGUUCAUAUGGCUGCCUUAUGUGUAAUGGAUUACUGGGUAUAGGUCCAUGUAUUGUUGAUCUGUGGCAUGACAGGCCUGGCAGAGGGACACAAACACAUAUGUACAAAAUGGCUCCCUGCUCAUUACCACGAGCCUGAACUCAUUUCAGCUGAGAUGACCAGUUAGUCAACAGCCCAGGCGUACAUGUGACAGCUUGGGUGUCUGCCCCUGCUGGUCAUAGCUACCGCUUCCGUCACUGGCUGUUAAUCAGAAUGUGGGAAACUCUGGCCACUUCUACUGGCUGGACUCCGUGUGCUGCCUGAAUCCAGGUGCAUGCAGAGAUGUUCUCAGAUCUAAGAGAGGUCAGGAAGGGAAAGGGAUGAUUCCUCCUCCUACCUUUUCCUAAGUCCCUUCUCCACACAUCCAAUUGCACCCAUGAGAACUGAACCACCAUGUUGAAUGGGGUCUGGCAUUCAGAGCAACUUUCCUACAAAUCUCUUUUUAUUGGCAUUUCCUCCAAUUUAACCAGCCCUGAAUUGCAUUUGAAUCAGAUGAGAGAAAGAGAGGGAAGGAGAAGGGAGGAGGUCCCUCCCUCUCUUGGAAAAGCAGCUCACAACCAGCUUUAUUUGGUAAAAUGCUGCAAUAGAUGCUUGUCAGAAAUAAUUUAUUCCUGUUAGCUGUAAUCUGAAGGAAAACAGAUACAAGUCCUAUAGUUAAAAAAAAAAGUAAAGUAGUCUUGCUUUCGCUGACAGUACAAAGGUGUCAUAUACAAGAAGGAUUGACACAGACCAAGGGGUCUUGUGGGAAAUAUGAUAAUAACUAUAAAGAAGACAGAUUAUUCCCCAGUUGCCAACAUUCAAACCUUUUUACAGUCAGUUCAAACAUAUAAAACUUUAUUGCUCUAGCAGAAAGGGGAACAAUUUCUGGUUGCACAGCUUUCCCAGGGCUGGGUUUAUACUGUCUGUGUUAUUGCUCUAUAGUGGCAUUUUAAAGUUUAUUGAACAAGACUUUUACAAUUGAAGGAAGUAUAUAAAACUGUAAAUUUAUUAGAUUUUUCAGGAUAAGUGCCCUUUGUAGUUGUGCUCAAGAAUUCGGAGCUAUGAGAAACUGCUAGUUACAAGACUUAUUAAUAUUAAAGACUGAGAGUACGCACAUUUUAUACCUUAACUGAUCUCAAAAAUAAUAUUAUUAUAUUACUGAAUGUCAGAGCUCUGAUACUAUAGAAUUGGAUGGAUACACACACAUAGGACUCUAUGUACCAGAUGUGUUUAUUUUUCACUGGCUAAAAAGUUAGCUUUUGUUAUAUCUUACUUUAUUUGCUUUUAACACAGUUGGUCAGGGUAUUCCUCUGUUCAUUGAAGGAUGUCUCAGGUAGAUGUUUUUUCCUAAAAUCCUUGCUGAUUCUCCAGCAUUUCUCAGUGUGUGGGUGUAAUGCAAGUACAAGUGUUAGGUUUUAAGAGCAUAUUUUAUGGUGAAGUAAUAUAUUGUUGCAUUCACAAAAGCAACUAUAACUUUGAUAAUCAAAAUACUACCAAAAGGUGUUCUUGUUUUCCCCAACUUCUCAUUUUUCAUUUCUUAAAGGUUUUGAGGGAAAUCAUUUGAGAAAUUUGGUAACAUUUGUGAUAAUCUAUAAAAAGGUUUCUCAACCUCAGCACUAUUGACUUUUUGAGGCCAGAUGAUCCUUCAUUAUGGGGGCUGCCCUGUGUACUGUAAGCUGUUUAGCUGCAUUCCUGGCUUCCACCCAUAGAUGCCAGCAGCAUCCCCACUCCCCCAUUGUGAGAACCAAAAAUGCCUCCAGACAUUGCCAGAUGUCUCCUGGGAGGCAAAAUUAUACCCAGUUGAGAACCAUUCAUCUAUACAGUAUUAUAAUAUGUCUGGGGAAAAUACAUUUUACUGUAAAUAAAUAAUAUAGGUUGUGUUUGGUAAUUAAAAAAUAUAUUGUUACUAAACAAGAUGAAUUACAGGAUUAUUUACUUGCAGAAAUAUCUGACUGUUGACUGCUUUUAAAUAAGGUGUUUCCCCCAAAGAAUGUAACAUAGCUCAAUCUUUAAAAUUUUUCAUAUAAAUUUUGGGGAUCAUAUCACUAUGUGGAAGGAGAUGCCUUGCUUGCUUACUUAAGCCUCAGGACAUGUGUUUAUGGAUAUAAUGACUUAUGAAACCAGACCUCAUAUUCUUUUUAUAUUAUGUUAUGAUUAGCCGCUGAUAUGUGUUUGCCUUUUUGAUUUUUCACAUGCAUAUGCAGAAACAUGUAUAUGUAUAUAUUAUGUGACUAACACAGUGAAGGAUAUGAAAAGUACGAAGACAAUUUUGAUUAUAAUUUUCUCAUUUGACAAGUUCAAUUUUGAGGUACCAUCAACUUGCCUUUAAUUUUCAAUUUGUAUUCUAGAAUUCCUUAACCUCUUCAGAAGGUUUUCGUGGUAGAUACAUUUAAGACAUUCAAAUAAGUUGUUUAUAGCACCUGUUCACCUUCAUGCUGCCUGAUGUUAUUCAAGUACCUAUGUGUGAAUGGCACUUUGAUCUGGAAUUCUGUGUUAAUUUGUCUAGUGGCCAUAGCAUUUACAGAAAUAAGCUAAAAUGUUUUCAAAAGGACUUAAAUUGUAAUUGGCCUUUUGGUUUUUGAUUGCUGAGUUUUGGAAUUCUAUGGUUGAUAUAAAAAAAUUCUAGACACUUGUGACUUACUAAGGAGUAUCUUGAAAAUGUCUCAAUUCUGUUAUUCAGUGGAACUACCGUUCUCUUUUGCCCCUAUGACCUCUGAUGGCUGAGUGGUGUUAGCCAUAUACUGUGUGUCUUUUCACCUCUUCUUGCCAUCUCUGUGGGUCACUGGGCUCCUCUGGAAACUUCUGUAGGCAGGGCAGAGGUUUCCUUUUGUGUUUCCUUUUAGAUCAUGCCUUAAGAAGUAUGGUGUGACUUCCUUUAUUCACUAAAUGUCUUUCUGAUAAGCUGUGCAUGAAUUAUAUGAUUGGAAAGCAAAUCAUAUUAGAAUCCACUAGUGGAGUCUGGCUAGGAUAUCCAUUGUAAUCCUCCUAGUAAGUCAUAAGAUCUAUUCACAAUCACCCCUUUAGUUAUGCACGGUUUCCUUAAAUCAUAAUAUAUCUUGUUAGAGUUUUUAAACUACUAAUGUCCAUUCUAGUAUGGUGAUAUGUAUGAUAGCUGUGUCCUGCCUGGAUUCAUGCAGUCACAUAUAUAUGAUAUACCUUUUUUUGAACAUAUGACAAUAUGCAUAGCCCCUAUUUGGUGAACUGCCUUCUCUACAAAUUAUAGCCUUGAUGCUUUACAAGGUUAAAUAACACAGUCUCUAAUUUAAGUAACAGUGAGAACCAGGAAGAUUUAAACACUCUGAGUCAGGCACACAUAACCCUACCCUCAAAAGCACUCAUAGCUAAGUGGGGGAAUCUUGCUGAAGUCUUGUUAACUUCCUGGGUUUCAAAGUCCCACUUCCAGGUACCAUGGAGGAGGCAGCAGGCAUGCAAUUACAGAAAAAUAAACCUUUAGUCAAACAAAAGAAGCCACUGAAAGAACUGAAAACCCCUUCCUAGUCCCAGCUAAAUUCCCAGGGAAGAUUUAGGACCUGUGUUUGUCCUGAGUUAGUGGAUGGUCUUGGCCAGUUUGCCAUCUGUAGUGGUGAGUUGAAAGGGACUGUGGGCUCUGGAGGCUGAAAGGGAGUGAGCAGGAACAACGUGAAACAGCAAAUGUCUGGGAAGUCAGUAAACCCUGAAUCUUUUAUGAGACCUUGGAUAUUCUGAUCACAGCUCCGCUGGCAUCGAGAUUGGAAUACAGAUUAUGGGAGGGAGCGUCUGUGACAUGAAGCCCUGGCUUAAAUCUUCCCAAGGUUUUAACGUGCCUUACCAUAUGAAUAUUUUGUUAUUUUAUUUGGCAGUAUUUCCACAGGAGGCCAGGAAGGAGAGCACUGAGUAAGCCAGGGGUAGGGCAAAUCUAGAGAUGGGAGAGAUUAGAACACUAUUGUGGCUAAUGAGACUAACACCACUGUGGUGUGUGUAUGUGUGUGUGUGUGUGUGUGUGUGUGUGUGAGAGAGAGAGAGAGAGAAAGAGAGAGAGAGAGAGAAAGCGCUGAAUCCCCUGUAAUCCUGUCUCAUACAAGGCCCUGGUGCUAAAACCACUGUAACUGUUUAUGAAUUCACUCCAGCUACAUAGUGAGAGGAAGGAAAGAGAAUAAGAAGAACCCAAUGCUGGAAUGAAUUUAUGCUUAAGAGCUUGUCUCGGGAAUGCAGCUGGGUUUAAGAGUCGCCAAGCCAAGACACCCUUUUUGGGAAAAGGGAAAAGAAACAGAAAGGAAGAUAAAAACCCAGGAGACUGGAGGGACAGUGGGAGGAAGAGGAAAGAAAACGUGCUGCUCCCAGAUGGGGAAGCCUUGUCCGAGUGAAAUGGCAUUAUAGGUUGUCUGGGUGUUAGCCCCUUAAAGUGGUUUAAUUUCCCACUAAAUAGAGAUCACUGUGAGGACUAAGAACCGAGCAAAUGCUUUCGAUUGUGCUAUCUUGAUUAGAAGCCCUGCAUUAAGGCAAGAGCAUUGGCAGAGCUCGAGAGAGCUGAGGCACCCCGAGGCAUGCAGCAAGGUCCAUGGCAGGCUAGACUUCAAGUGGCUUUGCCGGAGCAUGACUUACAGCAGAUUUGAUAGCCUCGAUUUUGCUUUUCCACACCUGUCCCCAUCUGGUAGGCCAUGCUGUGUCGUAGCCAACCUGCAAGUGAGUUAGGUGAGGCCGAGUGACCUCAGCCUGAUGCAGGCCACAGAAGCAGAGCGAGGCAGAGUGACUAAGUGACUGCUGGAAUCCUAGUAAAGCAGGGAUAGGAACCAGAGUUCCUGGACUGCACGCAGCCUUUUCUUUGGUAAGAGAGGUUGACUACUGUAGUAGCUGUGUAAGGGGCAGAUAGAGAUGAGUGAGAGAUGGUCAUUCCUAAGUAAGAAAUAUUUAUCAGAUGACUGUUAUGUGUCAGGAGCUGGGCUAAGUGCUUUACACAUAUAUAGUCUUUUUUUAAAAAAAUAUUUUCUUUUCUUUUAAUUUAGUUUCAGGGGGGUACAUAUGCAGGUUUGUUAACAUAGGUAUAUUAUAUAAUGCUGGGGUUUGGGCUUCUGUUGAAUCCCUCACCCAAAUAAUGAACACAGCACUCAAGAGAGUGUUUUUCAGCCCUUGCUCUUUCCCUCCCUCCUCCUUUUUGGAACCCCCAGUAUCUAUUGUUGCCAUCUUUACGUUCAUGUAUACCCAUUGUUUAGCUCCCACUUGUAAGUGUGAAUGUGCAGUAUUUGAUUUUUUGUUUCUGCGUUAAAUCACUUAGGAUAAUGGCCUCCAGCUGCAUCCAUCAACAUAUACAAUCUUUACAACAAAUAUAUGGCACAGGUACUGUGAUUAUAUUAUACCCAUUUUAGGGAUAAGGAAACUGAGGCUAAAGAAGUAACCAAGACAAAGUUAGAAAAUGCCAAGUUUGAAUCUAGGCUAUCUCCAAAAUACUUGGCCUUGAACACCCAUUUGAGCAGGUUUGCGCUGAAUCUGUUUCUUCAUUUUAACCACUACUUAUUGAGUGCUGACUGUAUGCCAGGUACCAUGGUAGGUGCUGGGGAUACUGACUAGAGGAAGACAGUGUCCUAGUCCUUGAGGUGUACACACAGCCGCGGAGACACCCCAGCAAAUCAGCGAUGGCAGUGGUGCCAUAGAUACUCUGAGAAGUAGUCAUGGUACUCAUGGGGACUGCUACUUCAUAAUGUCAGUGAUGUGGCAGACACAGGAAGGCUGCAGCACACCUAACUUUGUUGGUCACUUUUGUCUAUCUGCUACUCUCAAGGCUCCAUUUGUCUCUGUUGUGUAACUCCGAGCAAGCUAGUCUUCUUUCUAAGAAAGUGGAAGCUGAUCAGCAGAAGGUGGCCAUGGACAAAAUGGGAAGCAGGACCGCUGGAGAAAUAGGCCCAGUUGCUUAUUUCAGGAAAUCCUCUAGUCUUGUUCACUCGAAAUUGUGCAAGGACAAAGCUGGGUCCAGUGAAACAGAAAGCAUAAGAAAACAAAAAUAGAAAAAGGGGGAAAAACACUUUUAAGUUGAAUAAACAACGGCUGAGCCAACUCAUGAGUUCAGCGGGGGAUUCUCAUGUUUCCAGGAUAUUUUCAGAUUCUGAUGGCAACUCAGGAAAGACCACUGUAACCUUGAACUUUGUCAGAGGACCGAGUUCAAGACCACCAAGACAUUGCAUGCAGACCACCCACUGCAAUUUCUUGCAUAGGUCUGCUGGCCAGUCUCUUAUUAAUACUGCAAGGCAACCUAAGCCAUAUUUUGUUGGGAGAGUGGAAGAGUGAAGGCAGGUGUUGAAAAGCCAUGAAAAAAAGAAUUAAAACAAAAAUGUGCCUCAGGCUCCUUUCAGCUGGCAGCAGAAUUUCCGUCGUCUUUCCCUUUUGAAUUUGAUAUUAUUGCAGGAACAUUACCACGGACUCAAUUUUCACUUGACAGUGAAAUACCAGAAGUCGUCUCGGGUCCGGAGUGCUGUCUGCAUCCAGUCCCUGUAAAUCUGCAGAAGGAAAGCAUGGAGAUGGGGUGGGUGGCCAAGCUGACACAGGCCUCUUCAGGCUGCUGGGAAAGGGUGCUCCCUGGGUGUGAGGCCCAGGAGUCCCUAGAAUUGCAUAGAUGCAGCAGUGAGCAGCCCACCUGGGUGUGAAUCAUAGAAUUGUUUUGAGAAUUAAAUGAGCAAAUUUAUGUAGAAUGCUUAGGUCAGUGUCUGACACAUACACCAGUGUUCAGUGAGUAUUACCUAUUGUGACUGUUUCUUCGUGGACAAAGCAACAUCAUCCUUUCUCUGCAGAAUUUGAAACUGAUGUCAAAAAAAGAGGGAGGCAGCAGCAUCACACAUCAGAGGGAAUUUCUUUUAGAUUCAUAUGCCGUUUUUCCAUUUUCUCUUUUCAGUUUUUUUCUUCGUUAUAAGAAAGACUCCAGAGGUUGAAUUUAAACUGGGGGAUGUCCUCAAUGCUAUUGAAUAUAUUGAGUGUGUAGGCAGGCAGUGGAAGGUGCUGGCUUUUUUUCUUUUUUUUCCUUUUUGUUUUUUGAGAUGGAGUUUUGUUCUUGUUGCCCAGGCUGGAGUGUAAUGGCGUGAUCUCGGCUCACUGCAACCUCCACCUCCUGGGUUCAAGCGAUUCUCCUGCCUUAGCCUCCCAAGCAGCUGGGAUUACAGGCAUGCGCCACCACACCUGGCUAAUUUUGUAUUUUUAGUAGAGACGGGGUUUCUCCAUGUUGGUCAGGCUGGUCUCAAACUCCUGAACUCAGGUGAUCUGCCCGCCUUGGCCCCCCAAAGUGCUGGGAUUAUAGGUGUGAACCACCACGCCUGGCGGUGCUAGCUUUCUUUGGUAAAACGGAGAAAAGCCUUGAGGGUUUAAGGAGGAGAGAGGGGAGUAAAAUAGAGAAGAGGAUCAGGAAAAGAAGAACAAGUUGAGGAUAUUUAAUUAUUUGAAAUAUUGUGAAACAUGAAUAUUGAUGAGAAGAAUGAACAGGGAUGACUAAGUGCGAGGCAGGGCGUGAUGGCUUACCUUCCUCCAAGUCCCACCUGCUGUUGUUGACCCCAUUUGGCCAGCCAGGCGUGAACCUUAGUCUAGCAACAAUAGGGGCAACACAGAGUGCAUCUGCUGCUCAAUGCAGGGAGAGAUGCACUCUUCAUCUUGUACCUUCUUGCUGUCAACCCUUUCUCUUUUUUCUUCUGCUCAUUUCUUACCACUCUGUUUAUGGUAACACUUGAGGGGGGAAAAUACAUCACCCUAUGAAAGAACAGGGUGGCUGCUGACUUUGUACCAACAGCAGUGAACCAGGGCCUAGUUGUCAGCAACCAAGACCUCUGCUGACCCAGAAGCAGACAGGUGACCCUUUCACCAAAACUUUAAUCAUCAGUCUUCUCUUUUUUUUUUGAAACAGAGUCUUGCUCUGUCGCCCAUGCUGGAGUGCAGUGGCGCGAUCUCGGCUCACUGCAAGCUCUGCCUUCCAAGUUCACGCCAUUCUCCUGCCGCAGCCUCCCGAGUAGCUGGGACUACAGGCGCCCGCCACCAUGCCCGGCUAAUUUUUUGUAUUUUUCGUAGAGACAUGGUUUCACCAUGUUAGCCAGGAUGGUCUGGAUCUCCUGACCUCGUGAUCCACAUGCCUUGGCCUCCCAAAGUGCUGGGAUUACAGGCGUGAGCCACUGCGCCCGGCUAGUUUUCUCUUUUUGUCGCGUCUACCUUCCUACUUGCCUCACACCAGUCAGUUGGAUUUCUGUGUCAAGCCUGAGGAACGAAUCUCAUGAAAGAGCAUUGGGAGAGCGGAGAUUUUGGAAAUUGCUUUCAGAACACAAAAUCCCACAUGCGUAGGCUUGUUCCCUGCAAGCUUAAUCUUGCCUGAUGUAUAUGUGUACAUGUGGAAGGCUGAAGGAAGUGCUAUAAAUGCCCCAUUCGUAAGUAUUCAGCCAUCAUGUGCUGAAAGCCUGCCGUCUGCCGGACACUGAAAUGUGGCAUUCACAGGCCGAGGGUCUUUAAGAAGCAUGGCCGUGGGGGCUGAGAGCAGGGUGGGGUGACAGGACAGGUUACUGAGACUGAAUUUUGUCUGAAGAGUAGGGAGAGCUGUACUGGUUCCCCUUUGCUGGUUGUUGGUUUUUGUCUGCCCCCCCACCUCAAACCCCCCCCCACCGUAAGAGAAUCAGAAGGGUCCCAUCUGCCUUGCAGGGAAGGGUCAUGGUUGGUGACUGGUAACAUCUGGGGGAGGGGCCACUUCAUUAUGCCACCCAGAAUAUCAAAGCAGCUUAGGCGUUGGAACCCAGGGAAGGAAGAAGAGAUUUAAAAAAAAAAAAAAAAAAAAAAAGCCCCACUGCCAGUCGGGCAGCUCUCUGUCUGCUGUCUGCAGGCUGCUGCUACCCACUCAUUACAAUUAAAAUGAAGUGUCCGUCAGCGGCUAUCUUCUCUGUGUGGCCCAUAUGUUUCUGAGCUGAUACUGUCCGGAUUAUUCUGUUCGGGAAAACGAUAACGGCUGUUUAUAACCUUGGCAAAGACUGAGGCCUAAUCAGGCUGGAGCACAUUUUCACCGACUGGCUGAUAACAGGCUGUUAGCAGCCUUAUCGCUGGGGAGAGAUAGGCCAAAAUAAGCAGAUCUGUGAGCACAGGAGCCCAAUCGAGUGGUACACACUCUGGCCCUGGCUUUAUUUUUAGAUUUUCCUUUCCCGGUUGAUAUCGGAAGGCACAGAGGCAGGAGGUGGGGUGGAUAGUAAUGUGUGCCCCCUUGGGGGUCAGAGUGAGGCGGAGGGGGAUGUUAAUCACCACGAGAGGCAGAGGGUCAGCCCAGCUUCCAGUGCUCCGGGCUCCCUUCAAAUGAGGGAAAACACGUGCAGGUCUUAGGAGACAAAGGAAGGGAAGUGACUGUUUCCUGGCCUGGUGUGUGGGCCCGUUCCCUGUUCGGUUCAGCGUCUCCGUGCAGUUGGACUUUCCACCUAGGCAGGCAGGCAUAGGUGUGCGGUUCUGAAAGACUGGUCUCUUUCCACAUUCUGUCCUGCUCUAGGGACUGACUUUUGCUUUCUGUCUAAAUCCAUUUUGCCUGGACGACGACUUCAUGGCAUCCCUCCAGAAUGACUUGCCCUGCCCAACUCAUCAUCCUUACACAUGCCUAGAGGCCAGAUGAUGGGUUAGGCUACGAGGAAAGGAGCACAGGCAAGUCUUGAGUGUGGAGAUCCUUACAGUCUCCUUACAUUGAUUGAGGCUCAAGGAGGAUGUCAGCAGGGGUCCCACCAAGUCAUUCGUUAAUGACUGACACUAAAUCCCUAGGGAGGAGUUGUAAGUUUUCAGAGAAGUUUCUGCCUCUUGGUAAAACCUUCAAGGAAAGGCCCUUUGAACUUGUCUCUAUGUAGUGAUAGAGAAAAGCCAAACCUGUAACUAGCCUUUGCUUCUAGAUGUAAUUCUCUAAAAUCUUGACCUCCAACAUGGCUCUCCAACAGCUAUGAUAAAAAGUAUGUGUAGAAGGUCAGGAACAUGAGAUUAAAAUAAAAACAGGUAAGUUUCCAAUGGUGAUAGAUAGACAGCAAGUGUCAUAAAAAGAAGGGGAAGAUUGAAGAUAUUGUUUGCAUUAAAAAGUGGAGUCUUGUAUUUUCUCCACAUUCUGCAUAAACCUUCCUAUCUUAAAGUACAUUAGGGUUUUUACUCUCUAUUCUGUCUCUCUCCACCCCUCUUCUCCCCCUUCCUUCCAUCCUCUCGUUGCUUUCUGUACAGCUGCCUGAUUCAUGAGUCACUUUGUCUUCCUAAGACUGAAAGAAUCAGGUGGUGGGAAAGAGGGGAAAGGAACCCGUGCAUGGGGGAGGGGAGGCAUUUUCAGGGGCACACAGAUUGAAGUAGGCACAGAAGGCAGCAGAAAGCAGCAGAAAACAUUAUUACCAUUAUCAUGCUAAUCUAUUUACAAGGCCCUUUUAUUCAUUAAUCUUUGAAUAGCAGAACUGUUCAUACAGCCUGAAAUAAGAACCACCUGUGCCUCUAGGACCAAAAAAUAAAAGUGUUAAGGACAAAUGAUAUGUCGAAGCAGGAAGGGAAAAAUUAAAUAUAAACAAAAGGAUUCAAAGCCAUUUCUUCUGUCAUUUAGAUCGUCACAUAUAUGAUUUCACAGCUCACGUGUUGCAAAAUGGCCAGCUGACUGGCAAUUUAGGAGACAUCAUCCAAGUUCAGAGAACAGCUCUGGGGAGGGUUCCAAAUGUUGUGAAAUUAUUAAACAGUUUGUUUUUAAAGAUCCAAACUAAGGUUUUUCUACACUAAUUCCUAUUAUUCUUUUUUGGAAGUAAGCACUGAUAAGCCAAAUAUAAAUGAUUUUGGUUAAUGCUCUAGAUUCCCUGAUUAACUCAAUAAAGAAAUCUUUUAUAUUGUCUUCACAGAAUUCAUAGUAAUAUAGAAAGCCAAAGCCGGAAGGGAUCUUACAUGUAUGAUCUAGUUCAAGCCUCUCAUUGUCUAUUAAACCUUUAAUUAAGAGUUCUUUACAUGUAGGCUAAGCCCCCGUUUGUCACAUCACACAUAGGUGAGUUACAUUAUCGUUGGAACAGUUAUUCUUACAGGGAGCAACGUAGUUCUUGCAAACACUUAUUACCCUGUGUUAUAGAUACUUAGCAGGGGCUGAAGGGAGAUGUAGGGAAAGGCUGCAGCCUUCCUUAUCAUUAUUUUAAGAUAGGAGAGAUACCAGUUAGAAAGUCCACUGAAGAAGAUAUUUAGGCCUGAGCAUCUUCUAAGAACAAAUGCAAUCAUAGCCAGUGGAAUGGAAUAGCUUCCAUAUUCCUUUAGGUGGGACUUUAAAUUCUCUCAAUAACAAUUCAUAUUAAACGUCAUUCCCUUUGUCAAGAGACUGAGUUCUUUAGUUCUGACCACCAAACCUUACUAUUCACAAGUGUUAGAAUUAUGUCGUCCUAGAGCUGGAAGAACCCACUCUGAAGACUACCCACUCAUUUUGUAAAGGGUAUUAGAACCCAAGAAAGGGGAUGGACUUGACCAGUGAGUCUGAACCAGGACUGGAGCUAGGAUAUUCUACCUUCUAGCUGAGUGCUUUUGCAUCUUUUUGAUGAGUAUUUUGUGAUUUAGUUCUAUGAUGAAGCAUUCAAAAUAAAUCCCUUAACUGUCCAUGCCACUGUUUAUUCAUCUGUAAAAUGAAGAUUGUAAUUUCCCCAUUGAUUUUUUUUUUUAAGUUCCUCAAGAGCUGGGACUGUGCCAUCCAUCUCAGUAUUUCCCAAGGCACCUAACUCAUAAAGUGCUCUACACACAGAGCUGCUCAAUAAAUGUUCACUAUUGAAUAGUUGAAUGAAUGAAUGAAUAUGACUUUUAAUUGGGCUUUGCAAGUGAUGACUCUUUCAGAAUUAAAUGAUUUUUCUUCUAAGUUGUGUGCCCAUUCUCAGCCAUUCAUUUCUUAAAUAUCUUUCAGGAGAAACAGUGAAAAAUGAUGAUGAUAUCUUUGGUAGUAUAUGGAAGACCUUUCGGUACUGCAGAGGUCUGAUUAUAAUCAUGGAGUUUUGUUAUUGUCAUUUGUUUUCUUUGUAGUUGGUUGUUCAUGAAGACCUGGGAAGGCCUAGUGAUCUUGAGGGUCAGUUGAUUUUGAGGUUCUCAGUAGCAGGAGUUGGUGUAUUCUUAGCUGCCCAAGAACCCUCCCCAGCAUAUUGCUAUGGCAUUCUUGUCAUUUGUCCUGAAGAAGGGAAGAGACAGGACCAUGCUGGGGGACCUUAUCUAUCUAACUCCUGUUGUUGUCUAGUGCUUAGAAUAAUACCUGGAUCAUAAUAGGUACUUGAUAAAUAGUUGUUAAAUGGAUAAGUAAUUGCUGAAGGUCUACUUUUGCUUGACUAGCUCAUGCCUUCAAAGUCUAUAACUGGACUGGAUGACUGUUCUCUUCUAAAAUAGGAUUUUGUGAAUUAUUUGAGUCUAUUUCUCUGACUCAGAAGUCUAAGCCGGGAUAAACUCUUCCUCUCAUAGCAUAAAUUCUACCAGUUCCUUAAAAAUCUGUAUCUUUGGGUCUAUAACUCGCACUGCCAGGACCAUUUGUAUUCCACGCCUCCUCUCAUGCCUACACUAUGAGAUGAUGGCUUACAAAGGCCUAUUGCCCACUUAUACUUCUCAAAGAAGCCAUUCAGAGAGGUCAGAAUUUAAAGCAGAGAUUAUUUUAGUGGGGUGGUGGUGAGGAGGGUUAACAAAAUUGCUGUUUUAUUGGAUCUAACUUGCUUUUCAGAAGCACGUGACUGGCAUAUUUGGGUCAUUAAAUAUAAAGACAUUCUGCUUAUGAAUUAUGCCAGCAAGAUGUUUUCAGAUCAUACAAAAACAAUGUGUGUGGUGACUGCCAAGUAGUGUUUUUAUGUGUAUGUCUGUACACACCACCCACUGAUCUAUGCAAGGCAGUGGUGCUUUGCACUAAAUGCCACAUCGUUCCUUCUGGGAUCUCAGAACCUUUCAUAAACAGUCACUUAAGACUCUAGUGAGUUAAAUAAAUAAUAAGAUCCUUACCCCAUUGAAAAGAAUAUGUAGCCUACAUAUUGAAAAAUUAGGCAAUUUAGCCCAAGGCAGAAUGAGCAGAGAAAGCAUGACCUGGUGAGCCAGACCUAAGUGCCAGCAGCAAGAAUUUUGAUCUGUAAACAUUCUAAUGAUGGCAGAUGGCAGUGCAGCCUUGAGAGGGGCUUUCAGUCAAUCUGCAACCUUUUAUUCUGUACCUGAUAAGUCUCUGGUACUGAGUUAGAAGCUGUGAAAGGCCAAGUGUGGUGGCUCACACCUGUAAUGCCAACACUUUGGGAGGCCAAAGCAGGAAGAUCGCUUGAGCCUAGUUUGAGACCAGCCUGGGCAACAUGGGAAAUGUCAUCUCUACACACACACACACACACACACACACACACACACACACACACACACACAGAAAUACACGAAGAGAAGAAAAAAAAAGAAUCUAUUAAAGAAAAAAUAAAAGCCAAAACAUGCAUAGUAUCUUUCUUACAAGACCUAAAAAUCAUCCUUUCAAUUUGUUGAGCACGUCCUGGGUGCCAGACAGUUCAACAUGGAACAUAAUUAAAACAUUAAAUACUGGAAUACAGACAAUAUGCAGUUUCGGAGACAGACAGCAGUUAAGUUUCAGGGUGGUUGUGGUGGGGAGUUGAUAGUUAAGAGAAAGGAGUUGAGGCUAUGAACUGAAAAAUGGGCAUGGUUGAAGUCAGCAGCAGGACAUUAUAUUUGAGAAGAACCAAAUACACGAACGCAGAAUGGUCAGAAAGAGGACAGCAUUUUUAUAGCCAUUUUCUCUGCAUCUCAGUUUUUGUACGGGUAAAAUAAAGGAAGUGAUAUUGGUUAGUAGUGUGUCACCACCGGAAGGAUAGCUGAGGGUGACUGAUAUGUUCAUAGCUGCCAGGAUGAGAGGCUCAGUGUUUCACAUGGCAUUGGCAUUAAGGUUCUUGGGUUUUAUGAGGUCCUGUUUAAGAAUAUGACACUGGAGGUAUUUCUUUGGAGACUUUUAUUUGCCUGUGGUGUGUUGUGAUCAGAACCACUCUUUGGGAAGAGAAAGGCUCUUCUUGGCCACAGGGUGGGUACAGAUUAGCAAAUGCAACCAUAUUGGGAAGGAACGCUUGGGUGUUCUGGUGGCCCUUCCCCUCCCAGACUGAGCUCUGUCUAGGAUUGUCAGGCAGGUGUUCAAAUAAAUAAUGCAGCUAAAAAUACUUCCAGCAGCAACUGGGACUUCUGUAGCUCUGAGAUGGUCGGAGUAUGCAUUUCAGCUAUUCGAGCAGGUGUGCAGUGGCUCCAGAAACUUAGAACAGACACACCCCUGACACAUCCUCAGCAUAGACCAAGACCUCAUUUCCAAUGGAGAAAUGAAACAAAGCAUUUAUUUCAUCUAGUCUUACCUGGAAACAGGUGUGCCUUGGCUGAAGGCAUCAGAGGUAGAGCUCAAAAACAAGUUAAUAGUCAUUGUCUAGGGGAAGAUGGUGGUUUCAGAGCAGUAAGUGGAAUUAAUAUUACCUGCUCCCUGUCCAGGACUUGUUCUUCACUAAGAAGUAGUACCUAGCAUAACUUCAGCGAGAAGAUAAUCUAUAUAACAACUGUUACUAUACUAGCAAUCUUUUAUUAAGCAUGUACUGUGUCAGACACCAUAUUUGUUUAUUUAAUUCUCAAAAAGAAUAUCAGGGCAAAUGACAUUAUCCCCAUUUGCGUAGAUUCAAAACUGAGGUUCAAAGUAAGUAAGUACCUUGCCCAAGGGGACACAUGCUUUAAGGCACAGAGUUGGAAGUCAGAUCCAAGUCUGAUUCCUAAACUGUGGAUAAAGUUGUGUUUCCAUUUGGACUUACCACGAAUGUGGCAUGUUUUACCUUCUUUUUUGACUCUAAAUUUGCCAUAUACAUUAAUGUGUAAUAAAAACUUGCAUUGUUGGCAUUGCAGCAUAUUCAAGGUAAUUUUGGAGAAUCUAGGUGUUUUGGGCAAAAGAAUUUGUCAUGCACAACCUCCACAAAGAUAGCCAUGCCUGGGGUGAAAAUCUGCCAAUUAAAGCUUCCAGUUGUAUCACAUUUAGGAACUUUGAGGACAUAACUCUGAGUGGUCAGGGUGGGGUGACCUUCACUAAUGGGCGCUGUUCCCAUAGGACUAACUCUGGUACAUAUAGGCCCAUGAGGAAUACCUGACAACCAGGAGUAUUUAAGAUUUGGGUGACAAAUGGAGUGUUCAAAAUGGUUCUGUGGAAUCACUGUGCUUCUUGUUAUCACAUGAGUUUUCACCUGGCAAUGACAUAGAAGCACAUGGGCAGCCAAACUCUGGAUUGCCUAGGCUUUGAGGAUGAGCCCAGCCCACCUCUACCACUUCGUAACAUCAGAGCCAAUGACAGAGGUUGCCUGACUGAUGGUUGCCGGAGACUCAGAAUGCUUUUGACUCUUUGACUUUAUGUGAAUAUGGUGGAGAUAUUGAAAGACUCUUAUCAUUGUGGCAGGAAUUAGUUUUGAAAAAGAAGUCUGUUUCAGAAUUUUAGAUUUCAAAAUGUAAAAAUGUUGUGACUUGCAAGUAAGGCAUAAUUUUGGUCUCUUAAAACUGAAAUUGUUUUCCUGUUUUUCUAGUUUUCAUAGUAAGUCCCUCUCCUCCAAGUUGAAUCACACUCAGCUUUACUGAGUAAGGAGGGGCUCACCCUCAGGAUCUGGCCAAAUGACAACUUUUGGUUGAUUAAAAAAAAAAGUGUUUCAGAAUUCUACUCAGCCUUGCUCACAGGCAAUGACCCCGUCAGAUCUGAUAAACUGAACAAGCUAGGGGCUACCAGGAGCUGCAAAAGAGACCUACACAGAAAUGCCAGUCUGUGAGAGAGAACAAAUGGUUAGGGUGGUGUCCCAGGAGCAAGCAACUCAAUGAGGAGCCAUUUUUCUAUCACUCUCAUUCAGGUUUAAAUCUGGGGUAGGGUUAGGAGAAAUUCUUCUAUCUGUGUUUCAUUCUGUUAGAGGUAGGGUUAGAAAGCUCAUGGUCUGAUGUGUAGAGCCAGUUGUGGAAUGUGAACCAUGAUUCUGAAUAUAAUGAAGUUCUGUGACAAAUAUACAGCCAGAACCUGGACAUCAGGAAGUGGUAGCCAUUUUUACUUGUCCUGAGUAAAAGCUUUAGGCUAUUAAUUGGCAUUGUAAAUAUUGUCUCUACAGGAAAUCAGGGAGUAGGUAUAUGGCAUAUUAUAAUUACCUGGGGACCUUUUUAAUAUUUGUGCAUGCUCUGAAUCAGAAUUUCUGGAUAUGGGGAGGUGCAGGCAUUUGUAUUUUUGGAAAGCUCUCCAGGUGAUGCUAUGCCAUGUCCCAGUGAAUUGAGACCUGUUGUUUUAGAUUACUGUUAGUAAUGUUGUUUUUGUCUUAUCCAAUGAAUAUACCCACAUUGGCACACUCUUUCUGUCAUCGAAUUUGGAGGUGUCUGGGCACUGGAAAGCACAUGGGGGGUAUGUGUGUGUCUAAAGUGUGCGUGUGUAUACAUGCAUUCAUUUGUUUUCUGAGGCACACAGUCUGCUGCUGGCCCUGUGACAGGUGAUCAGAGCAAUGUGGACAUGGCAAGCCUGGGCAAACUCACUCUCCCCAUUUCACCCUGCCUGCAAACAGAGUUAACAUCCUCAAGGUAAAGCUCUGAAAUCCCACGCUGACCUUUUCGUGAAGCAUUAUAAUCAAGUUGAACAUUUCCAGUUUUACCACAAAUGCUUGCCCCGUGGGGAAAUGCUUCCCUACAUUUUAUGACAAUUGAUUCUGAUUUUGAGGAACUAAUUUGUAUUGAAUGCAAAAUGUCCAGCCUCACAUGGAAACUGGAAAGUCCCCUUGUCCAGACAGGUCCAAAACUGUGUUUUUAUUGUAAAGACGGGGAAACAAUGAAAGAUUGUGUUUUUUGUUUUAGAAAAUCCUUCCUUCAUUGUUCUGCAUACUUCUGUGUUUUAUUUUUUUUAACAGUCCUGUGGGUUUAAUGACCACAGGCAAUUUUGUGGAUAUCUGGGGCUCAUGGGAAACUUCACCAUGUCUGGAUUCUAAGCUCUUAGAUGCCAGAGCCUACUGGAUCUUUUACUGUAUGUGAAGUCACCCGUAGUGCCAAGGAUCCUGAUGUGAACAUGCUGACCCCUUUGAGAGAUUCUUGGAAAUAUGACUGACAUUUUCUACUGUGCAAUGAAAGUCAGCAUUUCCCUCCCCACAUUAUAGUUCUGGUCACAAAGGAAACAAUGCCCCUAGAACUCUCUGAUGUAUCUGAGAACCCUGGAGGCUUCUGACUUCAUUUGGAAGAAGUCAUGGAAACAAAAGCUGCUACUUCUCAGGCUAACAUCUGCUGACAUAAACAGAAGCCCCUCAAGGAUACCUUCUGCCAGUGACCAAACCGGGGGCUCAAGUGAAGAAAUAUUAUCAUUAGACCUGCCUCCAGGUCUAGCUAAUGUCUUAUUCAGUAUGAAUAGCAGUGGCGUUUGGGCAGGGAGGUGAUGAGAUGCCUAUUAAGGUAACAGAGGUGUCCAAUGGAACAUUGCUUGUUUAGCCUUAUGACCUCUGUCCAAGGGAGGGCUUCCUCUGUACUGGAACUGUGGUUGACUUAGGGUUUCUGCGGUUUCCUUCCUGAGGUAUAUUUACAGUGACCAUGCCUUCAUUGCAGCAAAUUUUAGGUUCAUCCUCUUGAGCAGGGGGAAGGAGCCUCUCUCUUCAGAAGCAUGUCAGGAUAUCUUUGGUAGGCAUCAUGUUCUGUUUACUUGAACCAGUGAGAAGAUGGCCGAGCAAGCAAGGACAAGUGUACGUGUCUAUAAAGGUUUCUUCUAAUCCUGCGAGUCUGUAAGCAUUCUAGGGUUCAUCGGAAACUGUCUACUCCCAUUUCUGGAAUUUGCCUUUUGGCAUCAUCAUGCAGGGGGCUUUUUCUAGUCAUGCUUUGUGGUGGAAAGGUCAGCUGAGCACGGAGGAACAGGGGACUCACUGCUUUUCUCCCCCUUGGGCCCUUGAGCAGGCAUUUGACUGCUGCAUAUGAACCUGGGAGCCAUGGGGUCUUAAGGCUUUCUACUUGAUUCUCAGUGUGGCCAGAAUUCUGUUUAGGGCACUGCUCCAAAUCUCGGUGACACUCCAUCUGUAAAAUUGGGUGGCAGUGUAGUGUGUGUGUGUGUGUGUGUGUGUGUGUGUGUGUGUAUUUUCUUAUACAGGACUGGAAGAGAAUGGAGGAAGAAGGAUAAUGACUUAAAAGCGAAAACAAUUGAAUUCUUUGAGCUACAGUGCUGUGUCCUGAGAGUGCAGUUAUUUUCCACUGCAGUAAUGCUUUCAAAAACAUUUAUCUAGCUUCUCUCACUUUCUCAUUUGCUGUCAUUGGUGUGAAAAAUCGAGUUACCAGAAGGUUCACCCAUGUUCCACAGGUAUGAAUACUGAACGUUUUAUUUAGUGUCUCAUUAACAGCUGGCCUGUGGCUCCUCCUUUCUCGGCUUGACUCUGCCUUGUCCAGGGAAAUGGGGAAUCACGCUUAAGGAUUAGCGGGGUGCCUAUUUUCACUUACAGUGCUUCAUUCCUGUGUUCAUGUUACCUAUUCCCUUUACAAAAUAUGAAUGAGUAUCUUUUUGUGACAGGCUAUAUUCUAGGCACUGAGGAUCCAACAGUGGACAGAACACACAAAGUUCUUACCUUCAUGGAGCUUCCAUUUUAGUGAAAGAAAUAGAAAAUAAAUAUGACAUGAUAUAAAAUGAUACACUAUCCUAUAUACUACUAACAUCUUUUAAACCCAGUUUUAUAUCUUACCCCCUGACCGACUCUUCAGGUCCUGGCUCCUGGGCAAAUGGUCCCCUGUCUGUCUAUGCCUGGCUGUCACUGAUUAUAGAUAUCUUCAGGGCCUAAGCUCAUGCUCUGCAACCAUUUUCUGUUAUAGAAUCUUCUUGCUGCUCAUCGAAGCCUUAAUCUCUUAUGCCGCGAUCAAUGGGUGGGCACCUUUCCCAUUCGGAUCCUCAUUUUUUAAUCCCUGCUGCCUCCCUCAAUGUCAUCCGGUUCCAUUUUUCUUUACAGACUUUCAGGUCUACUGUACCUGCUGAUUACUUAGUGGAGAGUGCUGGACAUCUCCCUUAAUUAAUUCCAUCGAUUUGAAAUCCCACAAGGUUUGGGGUCUUUAGAAUUCUGAAGCAACUAAAUGGAAUGUCUAAAUUCCAACCUUUUCCUUCUACAGAUUGUUUUGCCACAAAGUUACUGGGAGAAAGUGCUGUGGUUUUAUUUAUUUGAAGAAGUAUAUUAAUCCACAGAAGACUCUGCAUGCCUAACUGGGCUUUUUGUAUACAAAACGGAAGAAAAAAAGAUGUUUGGAUCUCUCUCCCUCUCCUCCUCUCUCUUCCCCUCCUCUUCCACUGACCAUCAAGAUUCUGUUCCUCAUUCUUUUCUUUGUUUUGGUCAUUUUUCUUCUUUGUCACUUACUUUCAUGAUGCUCAUCCAACUAAGACCAUGCCUUAGCAACCAGUGAUUUCUUGAACCCUUUGAAGAAGGGUAUGAACUUCACAAAGGAUGCAGAAGCACUGCCCAGGACUCCCUUUUUGAAGAGCCACUGCCCAGGGUGAUUUCCAAGAGGAUUCUUCCAAACCUUAUAGCCGUGAUCUUGUUGAGUUAUACAUGUAUGAUUUUUUAGUACUCCCUGUUAACAGUAAGCAUGGAAUUUCUGGGGGAGAGUCAUCAGACGUAUCUUAGGGUCAUAUGGUUUGCAGAAAUGGUGAACUUUCUAUACAGAGGUUCAGAAAUCAGCAUGGAAAGGAGCUUUAGAGAUUAGGAGCUCAAUGCUCUCAUUUUAUAAAUGCGAGGAUGGUGUAAGGGAACUUGUACUGAUUGAGCACCUAUCAUGUACCAGAUUGUACAUGUACCCAGAUUGGGCAUUAUGCAUCUGUCACCCCCAAAUAGUGAAGUAAUGUAUUGGACAUAUUGGACACUCCUACUAAAACCCAAUCCCUUUCCUGGCACCAGACUACUGCUUCUUAAACCAAGAAGCCAAAGAGAGGGAAGAGAGGCACAGUGCAGAGGAGUUUCUUGGGCUAACUCUUUAGAGGCUUCUGCUCCACUCUACCUGCUAAGCUGUCAGCAGUUGUGAACCCUUCCCAGAAGCUGGCAGUCUCGCAAACACUGGGAGGUGGCCAGACUGGAUGUGCUUGGAGCAUUGGCAGUCAUCAAAGAAUUAAUGUUGGACGAGCAGGGGUGGCGGGCAUAUGAAAGGGGUUGCAGGGAGAGAUAGAUAGCUGAGUAUACAAACCCUCAGUCAUGCCAUCUGACCAUCUGAGGUUGUGUGCAUGGUGGAAGGCCAAGAAACACAUUCUGAGAAGGGGCGUGGACUUGUCUAAAAGGACGUUUUCCUUUCUGCCUGGGCCAGCCAGGCAGCAGAGCCCUGCACUGCCUGCGACUGAGGAAGACUCUGUUGCUAUGCGCCGGAAGCUUAAUUUUAUUAUUGCUCUCCCCUAUUUAAUGUCUGUCUCUCAGGCAGCUGGUGAUGUUUUAAUGAAGCUGGAAUUGUAUAGUCUGUAGCGCUGGAUAAUCAUAAGCUGCCGAGUCAGAAUCAAAUUAAUAAUUCAUGAAAUUAAAGUGUAUAAUUAAUUUGAACUGUGCAGAUGAGAAGAAGGGCCAGAGCCCACAGCCUGGAAGGAGCUGAAGUGUGGGGAGUGUUUACUGAACUCAGCUUUCUAUUUCCAAAUAAUAUAAUCUGCAUGCGGGUUAGGGGUAGUCUGUGGGUCUACCUGAACACGUAUGCUUACCAGAAACAAGGUUCUUUCAACUAAAACCUGGAAUGACUUUCUUAGAAGUUCAAAAGCAUUUUAAUUGAUUUUGAUUUACCCUUCCCUGGCCCCAAAAGAAUGUUGUUUGAACAGAAAAUAUGAUACUGGGUUACAAGUCUUUGUUGCAUGGAGGUCCUGCAGAACGUGCCAUCAGAACCGUUGCUUCUGCAGUUCAAAAGGUCAUAAGUCAAAUCCAAACAUUCAGGAACUCUACUGAGCUUCCAGGCCCAUGGAUUUCUCACCCGCAAAUAUGCAGCAUUCAUCUUUGUUGCCUCUCCAGGUGUGAGAGGCAGUGUAACAUCCAGGCUGUUUACAUAACUUGCGGAGUGUUUUACAAUGUACUCUGCAGACAAUUGCUGGGAUCCCUUUAUUGUCUUUUUAAAGAUGCCUAUACAGGUGGGUCCUUUUUCAGUUUUUGAAUGACGAAUGCUGUGGUAUCAUAGGAAAAAGAGGAAUCUCUGGGUUAGCUUUUCAUUAGAAAAUCCUUUGUCAUGUUUAAGCUCCUAAGCAGGCAGCUUGAACCCCCCCACCCCCUUCCUGCAUCCAGUAGACUUGCAGGGAAUGAGAAGGCAAAACCGGCGUCUGUGAUUGUCCAUUCUUCUUUGUCAGGCCUUUCAGAGUUCCUGUUCUAGAGGGACAAAUGACUGGAGGCCAUGAUACAGACUAAUGGUGCAUAAGCCCCCAAAGGUUUGGAUUGAAUUGAGGCUCAGCUGACUUCACAUUUUUAGGUCUUCAGUAUGUUUAUUUGUCCCUCACAUAGCGGCUUGAUCUGUCUGCCUGUGUGUUCACAUAGUUAACCAGAAACGCUAGGAGGAAGUUGUACCAGUGGGAUACCUCCUUAGGAUUCAAGGGCCUCCCGUGUAACCAUGUUCUGCACAUCAGCUCUCUUUGCUCCUCUCUUGAUCUGCGUGCUUCCCCUAACUUGCUUCUGCUUGCAUGGCCUUAUCUUCUCUAACGCCUUUCUGCUUCCUUACAAGUUUCAGCCACUGGUGGUUUGCCAAACUGGCUGAUUACCCAUAAACACACAACAUGGUUCUGUUUUGCUCCUAGCAAUCCUUAAACCAUUGCAUGUCUAACAUUCUCAGACUAAUUCACAAAUCAGAAACAUCUGAUGCCCAACCCAUACCAAAUGCAUUUCAGGGCAAAAAUUAUGCUCCUAUAAUGUCUGGCUUCCUGUCUUCAAGGCACUUUGCUUACAUGACUGAAUCCUCACUGUGAUGUGUAGCUCUCCAUCAUUUUUGAGCAAGAAAGCUAAGAUGGAUAAAUAAGUGACUUGCUCAAGACAACUAGAGUGGUUGGCACCAUGAUGGGAUUGGUUGUCUUAUUUUUCAGUUGGUACAUGGAGUCUUCGAUGACCCCAGGAUUUGGAAAUGAAAUUUAACCACCUUAGAGCUUCUGGAAUUUUCUUCUCUUGUGUUCAACUGAAAGUUUCUGACUGCCCUGGGUGAAUUAGAUGUUAUCUUACUGGAAAAGUAUUAUACUGCCUGGUUUCUUCUAUAACCAUUUUAACCUUAAAAGCUUAAUCUGUUUUUAACAAAAUUAAAAAUAAUUUGUAGCUAUAGUGGAAUGACCAGAGUUUGUGCCCAGUGUUUACCUGUGAGCAUUUUCUUUUUGCAUACAAACGUUUUGGUCAACCCACGGUUGCCUCCUCCAGGAACAGAAUCUUUUGAUUCAAAUACAUUGAUUAAAAUUUACAGAGACUAUGGUCUUUCCCUGCCAUGGGUUUAGUGUAGAGAAAAUGGGACAGGAUGAGAAUGAUGAUUCCUAAGUCUACUUGUACAUUACUUGAAUAGCUAGACAAUGACCCUGCUGGCCCAGUUAUUUUAGCCAUGCAAACAGUGAUUAGCAAAGAUUGCCACGUGAUCAGUUUACUCAAUCGUGUGGCAUUCAGCCAUAAAUAUGGCUGGAACCAAUGAAUUAACCAAAACAUCCUGGUCACAUCUGGGAUAUAAAUAGAUUCAUGCUAAAGCCACAUCAGGGAAUUUUAUAAAAUUGUAAGCAUAGCCACUUACCACAUUGAAUUAGCACUACGCUUGACAUCUAUUGAGUAUAAAAUAGAGGUCUAUGGAGUAUAAAAUGGUCUUUAGAAAGUCUUUUGGGAAGAUAAGUAUUUCCUAUAACCUAUAAUGACAAAAUAAUGUUUUACUAGUAAAAGCAGCUCUGUACCUCACACUGUGAAACAAUUUUACAGUUCUUCAAAAAAGAGUUCUCCAAGCACAUCUAGGGGAUCUAGAGGCCCGUCUGGAACAUCGAGGUUCCAGAGGCACUUCUAGGCGAAAUGGCAUUGUCAGAAUCCCUUCAUGUGGAGGCAGAAUUGGGGCUCAGCUUUUGUCUUAGUGCUGUUUUUACCCCCAAGAGAUUCACUUAUGCUUCCAUAAUGCAGGAAGAAACCUUCGCUUUGGUUUUCUGUGUUCCCUCAGCUACUAUUUUUGAUCACUUCAUUUUGGUGAGAUGCUUGAGCAGUGCAAUAUGGUGUUAUGGUUUUGCUGGAGCUCAACACCAAGCUUUGUCUUUAUUAAGUUACACACCCCUAGGGAUGAAGAUUUUGACCCUUUAGCAUCUCCUGAGUUAUUGCACUCACCCCUUGGCAUGCUCAUAAUGAACAUGUAAUGAAAUUCAGUAAUUAACUUACUUAAUUUAUGUAUUCAUUUAAUGUGUGCCCUUAAUAUCUGCCUUAUGAUCUAAGAAAAUCUCUACAAUUCUGUUGUUUUUGAUUGUAAGAUUCUAGAAGACAGGGAUUAUGCCUAAGUAGUUUUAUUUACCAUUCACUGUGUCACAUUAAUAAAACUAAAUCAGGUUAUAAUUCAGAGGAAUGUAAUUCUUAUACAGGAGAUUUUAACAGUUUGUAAGUACUAACAUAGUUUAGAAAGUUCUGUAAUUUGGAGCAGAGUGCUAUAGUUCUUUGGGGUAUAUCUUCUCUUUUGCCUCAUCCACUUGCCAGGUAGCAGUGGCUUUUUAUUCUUAAGUCUUAGAGAUGCAUUUAGAGUUACAUACAGACAUAUGGUGGAAAGGGGUCUUGAGUUGAUUUGGGGCAAAAGGCAACCGUCCCCAUGCACUAGAGAUGAAUCAUGCCUACCUCCCUUUGUCAUGGGAAGUGGCGGCCACUGCCACAUCUGCUAUGAGGCUCUUCGCCAUCGUUGGCUGCUGGAAAUUUGGAUACAGGUAAAUGGUAUAUAAGGCUUCUUUUUGCUUGUGCACCAGAAGUCUUUGUCCCAGCCUCCAGAUUAGCAGGCAGUACUCCCCUCUCCCAACCUGUAGGAAGUACUUGUGAAAAGUUAUCUAUCCCUGGUCUGAGUGGGAGGUUCUUAACCUCAUUGAUGUUUUAGUGUGACUUGUCUACAUUUGUGUGCUCCCUUCGUCAUCUGCAGAGGCUAUGAGAAAAGAAACAAAUGAACAAAAAGUGGAGAUAGCGCCUUCCUAUUCAUUCUUCAUUUGGUAUGGUUAUAGUUAAGAGAGGUGAGCUAGGCUGGGCGUGGUGGCUCAUGCCUGUAAUCCUAUCACUUUGGGAGGCCAGAGUGGGAGAAUUGCUUGAGUCCAGGAGUUCAAGACCAGCCUGGGCCACAUAGUAGACCCUGUCUUAAUUAAAAAAUUAGCCAGGCUUGGUGAUAUGUGCCUGUAGUUCCAGCUAGUCUGGAGGCUGAGGUGGAAGGAUUGCUUGAGCCUGGGAGACCGAGGCUGCAAUGAGCCAUGAUCGCGCCACUACACUCCAGCUUGGGUGACAAAGGAGAUCUUGUCUUAACAAAAAAAAAAAAAAAGAGAGAGAGAGAGAAAUAGAUUGGUGAACCAUUUUAGGCCUUGCUUCUUGGAGAAGUCAGCAAGAAGCCCACAAGUGUUGAAAAGGUUCUGCACAAAUGUGCUCCCAUUUCCUGUGCAAACCAAUAAUUUGCUUGUUUUCCAAAAGGAUAGAAGUAAUUCAUAAUUUUCAGAAAUUAUUUAUUAUCAUUAUAACAUUUCCCCACAGGCAGCAGAUAGCCCAUUAUUCAGAAUUAUAAUGUAUUUUGAUUUAGACAAGGCCAGAAUAAUGAAAUUGGAAGAAAUGCAGAAAAUAUGGGCAUUAAUGUUAACUAAACAUACUUCAUUCAACAGAAGGAGGGAAGCUCUCUCAGCCAAAGAAUUGUUUAUUUUCCCAAAAAUGCAUAUAUAUAAAUUUUUUUAUUCAGGGCCUCUGGUUUUUAACUUUAUAACACCGGUUGAGUAAUUUUUAACUGCAGGAUGCAUCUCUUUCCCGAUAUUCUCCCCACCCACCGCAACAUAUUUCAGUUUAAAUGGCCUGUUAUUUUUCUUCAUAGAGCUGUGUCUCUGCAUGGGUGAGAACUACAAAACCAGUCAGGAGGAAUUUGAUACGCCAAGUGGGCCAGCUCAUUAUAACUUCUAGGAAACCACAAGAUAAUUGUAGGGUUACUGCUGGUAGGCUCCUCAGCAUUGUGUUAGGCGUUUAUACUCUUCUCUGUUCAACUUGCAAUAGCCACUUCUCUUUUCAGUACAUUUUGUAGGACAUCUGAAUAAAGGUGGUUGACAAGCAUUUUCAAGCAGAAUUUUCAAGGCAGCAUCCAGGAAUACUUGGUAACUAACCUCAGAGGUUUAAAAAAGUAAAAAAUAAAAAUAUGUGGUUGAAUUCUUA